UGAGCGAAGAUAACAUAGCUGCAACUGAGAAUGCUGCAAAAAUUACAGCGAAAAGAGUAAAUGAUUCCUUGAACUUGAUUACCCCAAUAAAAAUAUAUACCCCAAACUGUUGUGCCUCCUAAUUGGCGUAACGUAAUAACUGUGCAAGGUAAACCAUUUAAAAAAAAAUGUGUUGA